rnacentral:rRNA from 1 species
CCCCUAGAUGUUCUGGGCCGCACGCGCGCUACACUGAACAGUUCAACAAGUCUUAACCUUGGCCGAUAGGUCUGGGUAAUCUUUGAACGCUGUUCGUGAUUGGGAUAGACCUUUGCAAUUAUUCAUCUUCAACGAGGAAUUCCUAGUAAACGCAAGUCAUCAGCUUGCAUUGAUUACGUCCCUGCCCUUUGUACACACCGCCCGUCGCACCUACCGAUUGAAUGGUCCGGUGAAAUUCUCGGACGCGGACUAGCGAUGUUAAUUCGGAGCUUGACUGUGAAAGUUAAUUAAACCUUACCAUUUAGAGGAAGGUGAANUCGUANCA